GGAAAUAGCUCAGUGGUAGAGCAUGUGAUUAGCAUGCUCGAGGUCCUGGGUUCAAUCCCUAGUACCUCCA
rnacentral:tRNA from 1 species